AUGCGCAGGGGCUGGCUUCGAAUGUGGGGGACGAUGUUCAAACCUGGCUGUCGUGAGCUCUUCCCUGCCCAGAUCCCCAGCCCGGCCCCCACACCUGGGGCAGCUGUGGCAAUGGCCCCGCCGGCAGUGCUGGGGCCCCCGGGGGUGGUGGGCACUGCUGUGGGGUGGUCGCUAGCAGGCCCUGCUCGCUGGCACCUGGAGAGCUCCUCAGUGAGUGCUGCUGCCUCAGGCACGCGUCUCUCGAAGCACGUUUCAUCCCUGCCAGUGUCUUGGUGGGAUCUGCUCUGCAGCAAGACAUCCCCAUCCGUGGUGUCAGCCACAGGGUGCGUGGUUUUGUCAGGCUCUGUGGUCUGGUCCUGGGCUCUGCUUGCCAAUGCAUCUGGGCUGACUGUGUGUGCUGAYGGCUCCUGCACCACAGCCAUGCUAAACUCUGAUGUGGCUUCACCCGUGUCUGGCUGUGACAGCUGCCCACUGGGUCCUGGGCUCGCACCCCCGCCAUACAGCUCAAGACUGCCACUAGCAGCUGCCAGACUGUGUCCUGCAAGUCUGUGGCAGGUGGUGUGGGGCCGUGCGGGGCAGGCCCCCGGUUCUCAGCCCUCCCUGCCGUGCUCAGGUCAUGGAGGAUGCCCUGAGGAUGGCCUGCAGACUUCCUGGGAGAAGGUGUUGUUGCCUGAGGUUGGCCCAUUUCACCGCAGGGCUCUGCAGGGUCCCAGCGUGUUUCCUCCACCAUGCUGUCUGCUGCACCAGGUGGCUGGGGCGAUGUUUCUGCAGGGGUGCAGGCCUGGAGCCGGGCCCCAGAGAUCCCCCUCAACACCAGCCUGGCUGCAGCUUCGCACAGAGCUCUGCACCCCCUUUGCAAGCACAGCCACUCUGUCAGCUGUGACCCAAACUGCGCCAGCAGCUGUGCACACACUGACCGCACCAUGCUCUGAGGAAGAACAUCACUGUCUGCACCCAAGCACUCCUCACAGAGGGGAGCUGGACCUUGCCAUUGAGACAGCUCCGUCAUGA
rnacentral:lncRNA from 1 species